UGGUUGCAACUUGCAGGCAGAAGCAAUCACCUAAGCAAAUUGGGGCUCUUACCUUAUUGAUCGUUGCUGCCAUUCUUUUGAGUGUUGGUGAGAGUUCUGACAAAGCUUCCGCUAGCAGUAACUCUGAUCAGGUUUUGCUAUAUGGAAUUAUUCCUGUUAUGAUUGCUUCUGUUCUUUCCGGUUUGGCUUCUUCUCUGUGCCAAUGGGCCUCUCAGGUGAAGAAGCACACAUCAUAUAUAAUGACUGUAGAAAUGUCAUUUGUUGGUAGUUUAUGUUUGCUGGCAAGUACUUACAAGUCACCUGAUGGAGAGGCAAUACGAAAAUAUGGAUUCUUUCAUGGUUGGACUGUGUGGACUCUGAUACCAGUUGUAAUGAAUGCUGUCGGAGGGAUUCUUGUCGGUCUUGUCACUGCUCAUGCUGGAGGUGUCAGAUAGG